AGAGUAUUUACAGAAGGCCUGUGUGUCAGAAGUCAGCCCUGUGGCAGGAGGCAGAAGCUGGGAUGGGUGCCCACAAAGGAAGCCUUAUUUUCCAAGGCAGCCAGAGAAUCAUGGGUCUGAACUUAUCCCGUCUUCUCAGAUGGAGGACUAAGACCCAGAAAGAGGGAGGAAUUUGUCCAAGCUCUCCCAGUGAGCUGAUGCCAGAGCCAGGACUAGAACUCAGGUCUCCCAAUUCUCAGCACAGUGUGAUUUUCCUUGCAGAAUGUUGAUGCUCAAAGAACAGGAACCCCAGAACCCCAGGGAGGUAAGGAAGAAGAGCACAGCCAGGAUCAGAAGAGUGAAGAAACAAUGAUGUCCCACAGGCAAGGAUGCCCACACAGAAUGACUUUGGGGGGACUGCCAGUUAUUUUGUAUGGAAGGCUGAAGGUAGUGGCAGGAGACUUGUUAGGCCUUGCACUGGUGAGGCUGGUGGGGAACAGAUGUUCAAGGGCCUGGAAAACUGUGCUGAACAGUUUGGGUUUUCUUUCAUAGACCAUGGGGGUGAGGUGGGACUUGAAGGCCUUUGAUCGGGGGACACAUGUGUUUAGAUCUGAAUUUUAGGAAGGCCCCUCAGGUGGCCAGGCUAGGUGAGGUGAGCAGAGGACUUGGUAGUGGAAGGCUUCUCUUGCUGUGACUGCCUAUUUGUAUGUCUGACUGGGCGCUGUCUCACUGGCAGGAGGUGGCAGGCCCAGGGAUGCUGGACAGUAUGUGGUUCACCACUUGGGGUAGCCAAGAGUAGCAAGGGGUGAGGUGGGUUCAACUCACAAACCUGAAGCUCUUGGUAAAUACUGCUUACUUUUCAGGUCACAGGGAGUAAGUAGCUGCUCUAGGGGUGAACCCAAGAGUGGUGAUUCACUGUCCAAACUACUGGCUGGAGGAGAGCUCGUGGUGGUCAUGUGUUUGUCAACCUGUUCCAGCUCUUCCCAACUAUGGCAGUGGCUAUGGCCUAACAGCUGGAGGCAGGAACAGGGCAGUGACAAGAAUCAGCAACUGCAUAGGGGCCUCAUCAAUUUCCAGUCCUCCAUCCAGAAGAGGACAGGACAUGCUCAAGCUGCCCCAAAGAGAAAGGACAAAGGAGAGGAAUUCUGAGAUGCAAGUCCCUAUGGAAGAGGGGACAGAGUUAAAUUCCAGCAGUCCAACAGACUAUGGCUAGAGCCAUAGUCUUCUCUUACCUGUAUCUUUAACGUUCAGCUUACUAUUGGUUCCUUAUUAUCUCCUGUUAGUGAGGUUCCUUUCAAAAACAAUAAAACAAAACAAUAUUUUCCCGCUCAA